AGCUACGCAGCAAGUCAUAAGUGCUGAAAGCAUCUAAGCACGAAAGACACCGUAAAAAGAGACUUAGAAUACCCUCAAAACAGGGGUUUGAUGGGACUGGUGUGUAAGUAC
rnacentral:rRNA from 1 species